GGUUAAGCGACUAAGCGUACACGGUGGAUGCCCUGGCAGUCAGAGGCGAUGAAGGACGUGCUAAUCUGCGAUAAGCGUCGGUAAGGUGAUAUGAACCGUUAUAACCGGCGAUUUCCGAAUGGGGAAACCCAGUGUGUUUCGACACACUAUCAUUAACUGAAUCCAUAGGUUAAUGAGGCGAACCGGGGGAACUGAAACAUCUAAGUACCCCGAGGAAAAGAAAUCAACCGAGAUUCCCCCAGUAGCGGCGAGCGAACGGGGAGCAGCCCAGAGCCUGAAUCAGUGUGUGUGUUAGUGGAAGCGUCUGGAAAGGCGCGCGAUACAGGGUGACAGCCCCGUACACAAAAAUGCACAUACUGUGAGCUCGAUGAGUAGGGCGGGACACGUGGUAUCCUGUCUGAAUAUGGGGGGACCAUCCUCCAAGGCUAAAUACUCCUGACUGACCGAUAGUGAACCAGUACCGUGAGGGAAAGGCGAAAAGAACCCCGGCGAGGGGAGUGAAAAAGAACCUGAAACCGUGUACGUACAAGCAGUGGGAGCCUCUUUAUGGGGUGACUGCGUACCUUUUGUAUAAUGGGUCAGCGACUUAUAUUCUGUAGCAAGGUUAACCGAAUAGGGGAGCCGAAGGGAAACCGAGUCUUAACUGGGCGUUAAGUUGCAGGGUAUAGACCCGAAACCCGGUGAUCUAGCCAUGGGCAGGUUGAAGGUUGGGUAACACUAACUGGAGGACCGAACCGACUAAUGUUGAAAAAUUAGCGGAUGACUUGUGGCUGGGGGUGAAAGGCCAAUCAAACCGGGAGAUAGCUGGUUCUCCCCGAAAGCUAUUUAGGUAGCGCCUCGUGAAUUCAUCUCCGGGGGUAGAGCACUGUUUCGGCAAGGGGGUCAUCCCGACUUACCAACCCGAUGCAAACUGCGAAUACCGGAGAAUGUUAUCACGGGAGACACACGGCGGGUGCUAACGUCCGUCGUGAAGAGGGAAACAACCCAGACCGCCAGCUAAGGUCCCAAAGUCAUGGUUAAGUGGGAAACGAUGUGGGAAGGCCCAGACAGCCAGGAUGUUGGCUUAGAAGCAGCCAUCAUUUAAAGAAAGCGUAAUAGCUCACUGGUCGAGUCGGCCUGCGCGGAAGAUGUAACGGGGCUAAACCAUGCACCGAAGCUGCGGCAGCGACACUAUGUGUUGUUGGGUAGGGGAGCGUUCUGUAAGCCUGCGAAGGUGUACUGUGAGGUAUGCUGGAGGUAUCAGAAGUGCGAAUGCUGACAUAAGUAACGAUAAAGCGGGUGAAAAGCCCGCUCGCCGGAAGACCAAGGGUUCCUGUCCAACGUUAAUCGGGGCAGGGUGAGUCGACCCCUAAGGCGAGGCCGAAAGGCGUAGUCGAUGGGAAACAGGUUAAUAUUCCUGUACUUGGUGUUACUGCGAAGGGGGGACGGAGAAGGCUAUGUUGGCCGGGCGACGGUUGUCCCGGUUUAAGCGUGUAGGCUGGUUUUCCAGGCAAAUCCGGAAAAUCAAGGCUGAGGCGUGAUGACGAGGCACUACGGUGCUGAAGCAACAAAUGCCCUGCUUCCAGGAAAAGCCUCUAAGCAUCAGGUAACAUCAAAUCGUACCCCAAACCGACACAGGUGGUCAGGUAGAGAAUACCAAGGCGCUUGAGAGAACUCGGGUGAAGGAACUAGGCAAAAUGGUGCCGUAACUUCGGGAGAAGGCACGCUGAUAUGUAGGUGAAGCGACUUGCUCGUGGAGCUGAAAUCAGUCGAAGAUACCAGCUGGCUGCAACUGUUUAUUAAAAACACAGCACUGUGCAAACACGAAAGUGGACGUAUACGGUGUGACGCCUGCCCGGUGCCGGAAGGUUAAUUGAUGGGGUUAGCGGUAACGCGAAGCUCUUGAUCGAAGCCCCGGUAAACGGCGGCCGUAACUAUAACGGUCCUAAGGUAGCGAAAUUCCUUGUCGGGUAAGUUCCGACCUGCACGAAUGGCGUAAUGAUGGCCAGACUGUCUCCACCCGAGACUCAGUGAAAUUGAACUCGCUGUGAAGAUGCAGUGUACCCGCGGCAAGACGGAAAGACCCCGUGAACCUUUACUAUAGCUUGACACUGAACAUUGAGCCUUGAUGUGUAGGAUAGGUGGGAGGCUUUGAAGUGUGGACGCCAGUCUGCAUGGAGCCGACCUUGAAAUACCACCCUUUAAUGUUUGAUGUUCUAACGUUGGCCCCUGAUCGGGGUUGCGGACAGUGUCUGGUGGGUAGUUUGACUGGGGCGGUCUCCUCCUAAAGAGUAACGGAGGAGCACGAAGGUUGGCUAAUCCUGGUCGGACAUCAGGAGGUUAGUGCAAUGGCAUAAGCCAGCUUGACUGCGAGCGUGACGGCGCGAGCAGGUGCGAAAGCAGGUCAUAGUGAUCCGGUGGUUCUGAAUGGAAGGGCCAUCGCUCAACGGAUAAAAGGUACUCCGGGGAUAACAGGCUGAUACCGCCCAAGAGUUCAUAUCGACGGCGGUGUUUGGCACCUCGAUGUCGGCUCAUCACAUCCUGGGGCUGAAGUAGGUCCCAAGGGUAUGGCUGUUCGCCAUUUAAAGUGGUACGCGAGCUGGGUUUAGAACGUCGUGAGACAGUUCGGUCCCUAUCUGCCGUGGGCGCUGGAGAACUGAGGGGGGCUGCUCCUAGUACGAGAGGACCGGAGUGGACGCAUCACUGGUGUUCGGGUUGUCAUGCCAAUGGCACUGCCCGGUAGCUAAAUGCGGAAGAGAUAAGUGCUGAAAGCAUCUAAGCACGAAACUUGCCCCGAGAUGAGUUCUCCCUGACUCCUUGAGAGUCCUGAAGGAACGUUGAAGACGACGACGUUGAUAGGCCGGGUGUGUAAGCGCAGCGAUGCGUUGAGCUAACCGGUACUAAUGAACCGUGAGGCUUAACCUU
rnacentral:rRNA from 1 species